UCUCGACUCCGAGUCUCCAAAGAUAUCUUACGUUGGAGUGGCGUUCCAUAAAGAUCACUACAUAUCAUGGAUAUCGCAAAUGAAGACAAUUUUAUACCACUGUCUCUCCGGCUUGGACAGCCUGAAGCCGGAGAGGGUAUCGGAUCACAAAUCCAUACUUCUGCGACUGCACACUCUGGUGAGUUUCACAUCGCCUGGAACGUGGGCAAUACAGAAGGUGAAGGGUAUGGACCAGCUAAAGACUGGCAUGAGUCAGCUGUGCGCAAACAUAAUGGGCCACCUAGUUAACAAUGGAUUUUAUGCUACUAUGCAGGCUCUCUUAAUGAAGGGACUGGGUAGAGCGAAAAUUGCUUUGAAACCAGUUACACUUUCAGCAGCAGUUACUCUGACACUGAGACCACUGAUCUCUUCGCAAAUGUCCGACAAACUGGUGUCUCUGUUUCUAAUUAACAUUUUUAGCGUACCAGCUCUGGUCUAUCACCUGAAUAUCUUGUCACCAGAGUGCAUUUCAUCGUUUACAACGAAUAAUCUGUUUGCGAGAAGUUUGGAGUUGCUAAAUUCCGAGCAGAAUUUAAGGAUCGUCUUUAACGCUUUGGAGGGCAGUUAUGCGCUUUGUUUACUUGCUAAUUUGAUACAAUUGGCGAAUAUCGAAAGGGAAGAAGUAUUGAGAGAGCUGUGCUUUCCUUCUUUUACGUUCGUUGUGACGAGAAUGCUGGAAGCAUGUCAACAAUAUGUAGUCGCCAAACGGAGUAAUUUGACACAUUGGCAUCCAGUAUUAGGCUGGUUUGCACAGACAAUUGACACCUCCUUGCAGGACGCGACUCCUUCGGUAAAAUUACAACUCGUCUGUCUUUGGACGGGCAGGAUCGUUACGCAUUUAGUUGAACAGCCAUUAAUCGAAUUCGUCGAGAAAGAGGUACCACCUCCGGUAGAGCAGCAAAGUACCUCUUCUAUAGGCGCGAAUAUUUUCCGGCGGGCAUUUCUUGAGGCUCGAACUAAUAGGAACAACAGCACCAAAAACUACAGAAAGCUGGGCAGUCCGGAAGCUACCAAGAUAGCUCUAAUCUGUUCUCUAUAUCAAACUACGUUGCAUACGCUCACACAGAUGAAGAUAGAGAUAUUAACGGGAUUAUGCUAUCAAGGCAAAAUUCUUUAUCACAUGUGGCUGUUUUUGACCACCUUGGGACCCCACUGUGGUCUAAAAGCGUUUCUAGAUCUCUUGGCGGCUAACACCAAAUGCACAGCACCUGAAUUCCAAAUGCUGAUACUGUUCGCCGAUUGUAUGACGCACUAUGUUACCAUUUUAGACGAUAUGGAAAUGUACGAACAUCAAGAUCCUUUCAAGCUCACGGACUUCAUUACUAUGUCAUAUUUUUUAAAUCAAUUUUUGUACAAAGCGGUUCUCACUAAUUUAUUUGAUGUGAAGUCGGUAUCCAACAAUCCUUUGUUUAUCUCACUUUACAUUCUUUUAAUGGCAAUAUAUCGACGUGAUUGCCGCAGAACGUUCUGCCCGGAAGGUCACUGGUUAGCCAAGGAAGUACGAGUGUCUGGCUUCUUGGCUGAUUUGGAAAAGGGACGACGCGGCGCAGCACUUUUACUCUCAAAAAUGCCUCAUGUCAUUCCUCAUUCCGAGCGAGUCGUAUUAUUUCGCAAGCACAUAGCUGAUGAAAAAGCAGUGAUGGGUUUGACCGAGAGCGCUUGCAACAGCCCACCUACUACUCUAAUUGUUGUGCACAGAACGCGAAUAGUUGAAGAUGGCUACAGACAAUUGGCCAUGUUGCCAUCACAAGCACUGAAAGGUGUGAUUAGGGUACGCUUUGUAAACGAACAAGGUUUAGCUGAAGCCGGUAUCGAUCAAGACGGAGUUUUUAAGGAAUUCUUAGAAGAGACAAUAAAACGAGUAUUCGAUCCAUCUUUGAAUUUGUUUAAAGCUACUAGUGAAAACCGGCUCUAUCCGUCUCCCACAUCUUUCAUGCAAGAUAAUCACUUGCAACUAUUCGAAUUCGUCGGACGAAUGCUUGGCAAAGCGGUUUAUGAGGGUAUCGUCGUGGACGUGCCUUUUGCGUCAUUCUUUGUCUCGCAAUUUUCCGGGCAAACAGGCGGCGCAUUGUACAGUUGGUUGGACGAGCUUGCUUCACUAGAUCGCGAUCUCUACCGUAGCUUGACUUUAGUAAAGCAUUACAAAGGCGAUAUUCGUGAGCUGGAGUUGACGUUCUCUCUCGAUGAGGACGUGCUUGGCAAGCUGGUCACGCACGAACUGAUUACUGGCGGGCGCACCACUGCCGUGACCAAUCAGAACAAGAUUCAAUAUAUCCACCACAUGGCGCACUAUAGAAUGUAUCAUCAAAUCAAGGAGCAAACGACCGCCUUCAUCAAGGGAUUCCGCUCGAUCAUUAAUCCCGAGUGGCUGUCGUUGUUCUCAACGCCCGAGUUACAGAGAUUGAUCUCGGGUGAUAACGUACCUUUGGAUCUGCGAGAUUUACGAAGGCAUACGCAAUAUUAUGGAGGAUUUCACGACAGUCAUCGAGUAGUAUGCUGGUUGUGGGACAUCCUAGAAAAGGAUUUUACGGAAGAAGAAAGAGGCUUGUUCUUAAAGUUCGUGACGAGUUGCUCGAAGUCACCUCUGCUAGGUUUCGCUCACCUGGAGCCACCUUUUUCCAUACGAUGCGUAGAAGUUUGCGAUGACGAAGAUACUGGCGACACUAUUGGCAGCGUAAUCAGAGGUUUCUUCACGAUUCGCAAGAAGGAUCCGCAAAAUCGACUGCCCACUUCGUCAACGUGCUUCAACUUGCUCAAGUUGCCGAAUUAUCAGAAAAAGAGCACGUUGCGAGAAAAGUUGCGUUACGCUGUCACCAGCAAUACCGGUUUCGAACUUUCCUAAGUGUUGCCGAUCACGCGUUUUUAUUUUCAAAAAAGACUAGCACAAAGGAUUGUGUUAAGAAUUUGUCGAAAUAUCACGCAGUUUUCGACAGUUGGAACGAGAUGAUCGGCGAUCGAAAAUGUCGAGAUUUCGCAGGGAUAAAAAAUCGACUGACAUGAUCGAUACCUCAGAUUCGACAAUGUCGAGUGAUGCCUAAACCGCCCUUAUCCCCAUCCAGUACCAAUUAACAGCCCAAUUAAAUGCGUCGCUGUUUAAAUACCUGUUGAUUUUUAGCUAACACGAACGUUUUAGAGAACGUCUUAAAAGCGUCGCAGUUUUUUUUUUGUAAAAACAUUGCGACCUUGGUAUUUUUCGGGGAUUGAUGGUAUCAUGAAGCAACAUGAGAAUAUACAACAUAAAGGGUGAAGCCUGUUUACAACGUUCGUUUCUGCGGUCUUCGAUAUAUAUUUAUACAGGCACACAUUACCGAUGUGAAAUACACCAUACCUCAUGAGCUUAAUACCGCUGAGAUAAUUGUGCGCUUGUUAGUGGAUAGAAUCGUUGAUCAACGUUACAUUAAGGUCAGGGGUGGCGGACAUUUAAAUUUAUUUUCAUAGAUAACGUUGAAGAUAACAUUUGUUAUAGAUUACUCCUGGUGGACGUUUACUUCAGACAUUGAAUCAAUAAGCAAGAAAAGGUAUUAUUUACAGUCGUAAAAAAAAAUUCGUAAUAUCUUACGA
rnacentral:misc_RNA from 1 species